ACUCAAAAAAUGGCGGCACUUUCGUAGUCAGAAAAGAAAGUGCCCCCACAGUUUGAGUUC
rnacentral:pre_miRNA from 1 species